AUUUUACUCUUCAUUGGAUCACAUAAGUUCAUAGGAAUUUGGUCGAAGUUCUAUCGCCAUUUCAUUCCGAUCUUUUUUAUAUAUAUUUCAGUGACGUUUUGUGGUUGCUUAACCAUUGCAAAUGUAUUACAAACGUAGACGCGGCACCAAAAAGUUCCAUCGGAUAUGGAUUUUGCGUUUUCGCGUUAGAGGCACUGACUGUCGUGGAGAAAAACAUCCAAGAUACCUUUUCAGAAAACGGGAACCACCCUUUGGUAAAGCUCGUAGCUAACGAAAAGCUGAAAUCAGCUUUCAAGAAGAACAAAAGACUAGUUUCAUCGUAUACAGAAUCCGUCCUCGUCAAGGAAGCGUGUUCAGUGAUCAUGCACGAGGCGACUGGAUGUAGUUAUAAAGAGGCCACAGAGGCUCUGCAACGAACGGUGGCCAAAAGUUUUUUCACAGCAUAUAGCCUGGCAACAACUCACCGCUCGAGCAUAAAAGAAUAUUGGUCAAGCGCCCUAGCGGAUAGACGUAAAGCCUGGUGAACACAAAGACGCUAACAUCCUGCAGAAAAGUUCAACAUGGCUGACAACACCGUACGGUCGGAAGAUGUGUAAGGACAAAAGUGGGAUCGUUGCAUUACAGACACCGGUUUACUGUUAACUGUUGAGUUAUCGAUUCCUACAGAACUUAAGUGUGCACCACUGCAGUAUGAUGACAUUUAAGUUUUAUAGACUUUCAUGCAAUAGUUACUGUCACACAGCUCCGGACAUUGAAAGUGGAAGGACGGAGAACCACACAGAAACAAUAUCGGCGAAUGAUGAUGUAUAUUUGUUUUAAGUUUCGUGAAAUAGGUACUGUGAAACAGCCCCGGACGUACAACCUUCCUGAAUUUCAAUCUAUUAAGGGGCAAUAAAUUAAUUACGCGUGCACCGCAGUAUGAUUGAACACAUUCAUAUUAAGUUUAAUGAAAUUUAAUAAAUAAUUAUUGAUAAACACCUCCGGACAUCGCCAAAAUAAUAUUCCUUCACUGUCUUAGAGGGGUAAAAAGCCAUCAUAAGGGAGGUGUCAUUUUGUCUACUUACAAGAGUUGGUGCAUUCGGAUUAAAUGCGUAUUCUACAUGCAAUAAUAAAUGCAUGCAAAAAUAAAUAUCUUUCUUGCAA